rnacentral:rRNA from 1 species
UACGUAGGGGGCAAGCGUUGUCCGGAAUCAUUGGGCGUAAAGAGCGUGUAGGCGGCCCGAUAAGUCCGCUGUGAAAGUCCAGGGCUCAACCGUGGAACUGCUUGGCAUACUGGCGGUCUUGAGCAACCUAGGGGCGAGCGGAACAAAUGGUGGAGCGGUGAAAUGCGUAGAUAUCAUUUGGAACGCCAAUGGUGAAAACAGCUCGCUGGGGGUUUGCUGACGCUGAGACACGAAAGCCAGGGGAGCAAACGGG